rnacentral:rRNA from 1 species
GAUGAACGCUGGCGGCGUGCCUAAUACAUGCAAGUCGAGCGAACAGACGAGGAGCUUGCUCCUCUGACGUUAGCGGCGGACGGGUGAGUAACACGUGGAUAACCUACCUAUAAGACUGGGAUAACUUCGGGAAACCGGAGCUAAUACCGGAUAAUAUAUUGAACCGCAUGGUUCAAUAGUGAAAGACGGUUUUGCUGUCACUUAUAGAUGGAUCCGCGCCGCAUUAGCUAGUUGGUAAGGUAACGGCUUACCAAGGCAACGAUGCGUAGCCGACCUGAGGGGGUGAUCGGCCACACUGGAACUGAGACACGGUCCAGACUCCUACGGGAGGCAGCAGUAGGGAAUCUUCCGCAAUGGGCGAAAGCCUGACGGAGCAACGCCGCGUGAGUGAUGAAGGUCUUCGGAUCGUAAAACUCUGUUAUUAGGGAAGAACAAAUGUGUAAGUAACUAUGCACGUCUUGACGGUACCUAAGCAGAAAGCCACGGCUAACUACGU